CCCUUAGACGUUCUGGGCCGCACGCGCGCUACACUGACCAGUGCAACAAGCAUCCGUCCUUGGCCGACAGGCCCGGGCAAUCUUUGAACGCUGGUCGUGAUGGGGAUAGACUUUUGCAAUUUUUGGUCUUCAACGAGGAAUUCCUAGUAAACGCAAGUCAUCAACUUGCAUUGAUUACGUCCCUGCCCUUUGUACACACCGCCCGUCGCACCUACCGAUUGAAUGGUCCGGUGAAGCCUCCGGAUUGGCGCGCACCUCGGUGCCGCCGAGAAGUUGGCUAAACCUUACCAUUUAGAGGGAGGUGAAGUCGUAACA
rnacentral:rRNA from 1 species